rnacentral:rRNA from 1 species
ACGGGUGAGUAACGCGUAUCCAACCUUCCCAUGACUAAGGGAUAACCUGCCGAAAGGCAGACUAAUACCUUAUGGUCUUCACUGACGGCAUCAGAUGUGAAGUAAAGAUUUAUCGGUUAUGGAUGGGGAUGCGUCUGAUUAGCUUGUUGGCGGGGUAACGGCCCACCAAGGCAACGAUCAGUAGGGGUUCUGAGAGGAAGGUCCCCCACAUUGGAACUGAGACACGGUCCAAACUCCUACGGGAGGCAGCAGUGAGGAAUAUUGGUCAAUGGGCGAGAGCCUGAACCAGCCAAGUAGCGUGCAGGAUGACGGCCCUAUGGGUUGUAAACUGCUUUUGUAUGGGGAUAAAGUCAAUCACGUGUGAUUGUUUGCAGGUACCAUACGAAUAAGGACCGGCUAAUUCCGUGCCAGCAGCCGCGGUAAUACGGAAGGUCCGGGCGUUAUCCGGAUUUAUUGGGUUUAAAGGGAGCGUAGGCUGGAGAUUAAGUGUGUUGUGAAAUGUAGACGCUCAACGUCUGACUUGCAGCGCAUACUGGUUUCCUUGAGUACGCACAACGUUGGCGGAAUUCGUCGUGUAGCGGUGAAAUGCUUAGAUAUGACGAAGAACUCCGAUUGCGAAGGCAGCUGACGGGAGCGCAACUGACGCUG